rnacentral:rRNA from 1 species
GAAAUUCGGAUUAAUACCGCAUAAUACUUUAGAGUGGCAUCACUUAUAAGUUAAAACUCCGGUGGUUAAAGAUGGGCAUGCGUGACAUUAGUUAGUUGGUGUGGUAACGGCACACCAAGACUACGAUGUCUAGGGGUUCUGAGAGGAUGAUCCCCCACACUGGUACUGAGACACGGACCAGACUCCUACGGGAGGCAGCAGUAAGGAAUAUUGCGCAAUGGAGGCAACUCUGACGCAGCCAUGCCGCGUGCAGGAAGACGGCCUUAUGGGUUGUAAACUGCUUUUAUAAAGGGAUAAACUCACCCUCGUGAGGGUGACUGAAGGUACUUUAUGAAUAAGCACCGGCUAACUCCGUGCCAGCAGCCGCGGUAAUACGGAGGGUGCAAGCGUUAUCCGGAUUUAUUGGGUUUAAAGGGUGCGCAGGCGGACCUGUCAGUCAGUGGUGAAAUCCCGGGGCUCAACUCCGGAACUGCCAUUGAUACUGCGGGUCUUGAAUACGGUUGAAGGUAGGCGGAAUGUAGCAUGUAGCGGUGAAAUGC